GAAACGCGAACCAAGCAGCCCUCCCGGCGUGAGGCUUGGAGCUGGAAGCCGCAAGGCUCCCAUGUC
rnacentral:sRNA from 23 species